rnacentral:rRNA from 1 species
GACGAACCGUGCGAACGUUAUUCGGAAUUACUGGGCUUAAAGGGUGCGUAGGCGGCGCAGAAAGUAGGGUGUGAAAUCCCUCGGCUCAACCGAGGAACUGCGCCCUAAACUACUGUGCUCGAGGGAGGUAGAGGUGAGCGGAACUUAGGGUGGAGCGGUGAAAUGCGUUGAUAUCCUAAGGAACACCGGUGGCGAAAGCGGCUCACUGGACCUCUUCUGACGCUGAGGCACGAAAGCUAGGGUAGCGAACGGG